rnacentral:lncRNA from 1 species
AUUGAAUAAAAGUAUUUGGUGGCUUGUGGCAAUUUUCACUCUCUUCUUCGAUUAUUCUUCUUCUCCCUCUUCUAUUGUUUUCUUAUUCUGUCAUCUCUUCCCCUAAUUUUUUAUUCCUGUCGAUUGGUUUUCUCAUUCUCCAUUGGGUAUUCCUAUUGGUGCUGCAUCACCACCUCUUUGAAUCAGUUGUGAAGUGAGAAACAGUCAAAUAACAAUAUAUUCUGGUAGAAGUUUGAACUGUUAAAAGGCACGAGGGGAAAUUUUCAGUUCUUUUAGAUAAUUUUCAAUAUGGGAAAAUCUACAAACGACCCCCCAUAUAUAGGGACGUAGUUCUGGAAUUUGCAUUUUAAAUCCAGGUUAUGGGCUUAACAACUAACAAAUUUUGUCAAGUCUCUGUCAAAGGAAGUUGGAAAUUUUGCAAAUAUACUAUUGUAAUUGAUCGAGAAUGAUCAAAAUGAUCUCAAGAAUUCAAAGGAACAAUUAAUCUGCACUUCAUCAUAGACAUGGUUUAACAAAACCAUUUGACAAAUCAAUAGGACAGUUCUCAGUUCUUUUCUUACCUGGUCAUCAAAUACCCAUUUCUAUUUCCACAAAAAUUCCAAUAUUUUCCUGUUCUCACCACCCAACACUCCAUUCUUCAUAGAAAUCCCAUCUUUAAACUCAACCCCUAAAUUUCUUCUUCUCCAAUCCCAUCACGUUCCAAAGAAUGACCACGAGCGAAUGCACCUUUUCAAUGUGACUUUUAUCUGCACCUUUUCUUUCCAACUCAUUGAACACUUUCUUCCAAAACUUGAGGAAAUCAUUAAAGUCUACCAAGCGGUCAAGAACUAAAGGCAAAGAUGCUCUGCUGUAGAAAUCUAAUGCCUUUGGAAUCCCAAUUUAAAAUAGUUAAAAACAAGUGCCAGGAGCUGUUUUUGGCCAGCGUGUGGAGAAAAUUGUGUUGGUGUUGCUUCUUGGUUUUUAGCAAGAAUUUAACUCCUAGGAAUAACGAAUUCUUGCAUAUGUUGAAUUUAAUACUAAAGAAGGCCUCGCAAUUUUAUGUGGAUGCUGAAAAGGCUAGUUUUUAAGUAGUGAUUGAAGAGAAAACCUGAUUGACAAUUCAUAGUUGGGACGGAGAUAGGUAUUAUGAGAGGGAGAGUUGUGUAUUGUUUAUGCAAAAAG